CCCCCGCGCGCUCCCCGUCGUCGCUUCACCAUCCCACGGCGAAGCUUCCUCGCCGCACCUUCCAGGAACCUGCCUCCACCGCGUCGCGUCAGCUUCGUCGAAGCUUCCUGCGUCCGCGGCCGGGUAACCGUAUCCGGUGACCGAGCCCAAUUUGGCCAACACAAACACAUCUCCUGUACCCGUAGCCCGUAGGCAUAAGGCGCGUGCCCGCCUUUUCUCGGGAAAGGACAUGAAUGAAUGGAGGAAGGUCAGCGGAAGCAGCGCCUCCGCCGCCGCAGAGAUGCCGGCGGGGCGGCGCGCCGGUGGCGUUGCCCUCGGGGGCACCGACCUGCAGGGGAUUCCGCAUGCACUUUGUGCUCGCUGCGUCCAGCGAUUUCUACCGUGCGCGCGGCGCGGUUCCGAUCCGCCCCACGGAGAAGGUUGGAUCUCACCUACUGGACCAAUUUUCAAGGAAGAUAAUGAUAUUCUAGUACACAGAUGCCUGAAAGUUGACAGUCCUUGGAUCGUACAUUUGAAGUUUUGGAGCAAAGCACCAGUACUUCGACAGUACCUAAUGACUUCAUGUAGAAGUCUGAAUUCCAACUCGUGCAUCCUCGAUAAGGGUUGACUGUUGAGUAAUGUUAGGAAUGCUAGGCAAGUGAUGGAAGCUUGCAGCGUAUGUGGAAACAAAGUUUAUCAAUUCCAGAAGGAAGAUUAUGCAGAUUAAAGCUUUAAUCUGGGAUCUCUCACUGAAAAAAUAUUUUACCAAAGGAUGGGAGAAAGCUGAAUUCAAAGCAAACAACCUCUUUGUAGGGUGAUGUGUCGCGGCGUGCCUCAGCUCCGUGUGCGCCAUUUGCACGCUUGUAAUUUGUUGCAUCGUGUAACUUAUGUUAUCGGUAAGGGCGGCAUAAUAAAAUGAAACCUAAGCAAAGACCCCUAGUGCACAAUCAAAUCACUAUUUUCUUUUCAUUUAUGCUAUAUUUCUUUGAUAAACCACUGCACGACAGAUGCUAUAUGCUAAAUAACUAUUUAAGAAGCCACACGCAAAUAAACAAAAUGCAUGAUACUGUUCGUAUAUAAAAUGAGAAAUGGAGUAAAAAGGCUUGUUGCUGGAAGGUAGUACAUAUCCACAUACGCUUUGUAUUUAUCCUGCAUCAUGUCGUGUUUGGUUGUAUUUUUAAUAAUAUAUAAUAAAAACUGUACGAGUAUGAGCGAACUGUGAGAUUAUAUAGUUGCAUGUAGUAGGCAGUUCCUUAUGUAAUAAGUGCUGUAAGCACAUACAAUUGCACAAAUACUGAUUUCCUUCACGUGUUUCUUCAGCGAUCCUAUCAUUAUUACCUUAUAUAUAA